UGCGCGGAUUAUCCAAAAAAUUGUCUUUCAAAUAAAGACAACGUGACGAUAAAACAAAUGUUUUGUGUGUCGUUUGAACGUUUGUUUUUAUUAUUCUUUUAUUAUGCCUGGGUUGCUAUACUAAACAGCAAUAGCAUUCGCCUUAUAAUGACACACUCCAAUACAGUGGCUGAGAUCUUGUGCAAAAUCAUUGUAGCCUACAAUGAUGUGCGGCUGGAGGGAAUGUUAGUGCUCUUGCUUUUUAAAUGUAUUUGUGAGGUGAAGCUGGUUGGAGUAGCAGUCUCAAUCAGGACAAUCUGCGACCGGGAUCACGUGAACAAAUAUGCUUGUAUUUUAAGGCAGCGCCUUUAUUUGUCAUGAUAAGGUUUCCGAAAUAUAGUAAUGUCGACUCGUGCGGCGAGCCUGCCUCUGUAAAAUCUUCUUUUCUUUUUUUCCAAUGGGAAGUUGAUUGCUAGUAAUAUUUCGUUUUGGAAUAAGAAGACCUUCUUGGCUUUUUAUUGGUAGCUGAGUGAGUGGCUCCCAUUCUUUCGGGAAUACUGUCUGCAUUGGUAUAUGGAAAUGACUGGAAAAGCGCGAGAUCAGUUUUAAGACAGUACUGUCUAUAGACAAAGGGUGAAGGAUAUAUCCGAGCAGCUGUACUGAGAUAUAUUGAGACUAAGAAGCACGGCUAUAUAAUAAAUUGACAUCACAGGUCGCCGUAUAAAUUAUGAAGAUUGCUUGAGGAGAAAGAGGGGAGAGGAAACCACAGACUGCGCAGGUCAAAGGACAGAAGAUCUGUGGGAAGCUCCAAUCACGUGAUUGACAAGUCCAUGCAACAGGAGUUCACAGGCUCUCUUAGUUUGAAC